GCUCUUUUUCUGUUGUACUACUGUGAAAUCAGAUGAGCAGUGCAAUAUUAAAAGGGCAU
rnacentral:pre_miRNA from 1 species